rnacentral:rRNA from 1 species
ACAGAGGUCCCGAGCGUUGUUCGGAUUCACUGGGCGUAAAGGGUGCGUAGGUGGCAAGGUAAGUUUGAUGUGAAAGCUCCGGGCUCAACCCGGAAAAUGCAUUGAAUACUAUCUAGCUAGAGGAUUGGAAGGGGGACUGGAAUUCUCGGUGUAGCAGUGAAAUGCGUAGAUAUCGAGAGGAACACCAGUGGCGAAGGCGAGUCCCUGGACAACUCCUGACACUGAGGCACGAAAGCUAGGGGAGCAAACAGG